UGACGUUGCUUCAGGAUCUGG
rnacentral:siRNA from 1 species